GCAUAUCAAUAAGCGGAGGAAAAGAAACCAACAGGGAUUGCCUCAGUAACGGCGAGUGAAGCGGCAAGAGCUCAACUUUGGAAUCGCUCCGGCGAGUUGUAGUCUGGAGGUGGCCACCACGAGGUGUUUUAGCAGCAGGCAAGUCCUUUGGAACAAGGCGCCAGCGAGGGUGACAGCCCCGUACCUGCUUUUGCUAGUGCUUCCUGUGGCCCACCGACGAGUCGAGUUGUUUGGGAAUGCAGCUCUAAGUGGGUGGUAAAUUCCAUCUAAGGCUAAAUAUUGGCGAGAGACCGAUAGCGAACAAGUACAGUGAUGGAAAGAUGAAAAGCACUUUGAAAAGAGAGUGAAACAGUACGUGAAAUUGUUGAAAGGGAAGGGCUUGCACCCAGACACGGUUUUACCGGGCCAGCAUCAAGUAGAACGGGGUUAAAAGACCUGGGGAAUGUAGCUACCUCUUGGUAGUGUUAUAGCCCUUGGGUGAUGACCCCCGUUUUGCUUGAGGACAGCGGUCUCUAGGAUGCUGGCGCAAUGGUUGCAAGCCACCCGUCUUGAAACACGGACC
rnacentral:rRNA from 1 species